rnacentral:rRNA from 1 species
GUGCAGCAGGCGCGAAACCUCCGCAAUGCUCGAAAGAGCGACGGGGGGACUCCAAGUGCCUACGCUCAGCGUAGGCUGUUCCCGAGCCUAAAAAGCUCGGGGAGUAAGGGCUGGGUAAGACGGGUGCCAGCCGCCGCGGUAAUACCCGCAGCCCGAGUGGUGGCCGCUAUUAUUGGGCCUAAAGCGUCCGUAGCCGGCUCGGUAAAUGCCUGGGUAAAUCGUCUGGCCCAACCAGACGAAUUCCGGGUAGACUGCCGGGCUAGGGACCGGAGGAGGGAGAGGGGUACUUCAGGGGUAGGGGUGAAAAUUUCCUUUCCAUUAACGCUUUGCGCGAAGCGGAAAGGGUUAUCACAAUCCUGUAAUCCCUGGAGGACCACCCGUGGCGAAGGCGCUCUCCUAAGACGGGUCCGACGGUGAGGACGAAAGCCAGGGGAGCAAACCGGAUUAGAUACCCCCGUAGU